UGUCCAGCAGUAUCCCAAAUCUGAGCUUUAACUUCUUUUCCAUCAAUUUCAAGAGUUUGGGUCUGAAACUCAACUCCAAUAGUUGCUUUUGAAUGCAAAUUAAACUCAUUUCUUGCAUAACGUGUAAGCAAAUUAGAUUUACCUACUGCAGAAUCACCAAUGAUUACAAUCUUGAAAAGAUACUCCUCACCCUCAUCAUCUGAAGAGUCCAUUUGCUGAAAAAUUGAAACUUUUUGAGGUUUAGAGAGAGAAAG
rnacentral:misc_RNA from 1 species